rnacentral:ncRNA from 1 species
CUUCGUAACCACGGGAGCUCGCGCGUGAGCGGGCUGAGAGGGCGGCUUUUCCCUCCUACGACGAGGGAGCGGCGCCGCCGACCGACUGAACCUGUCCGGGUAAUGCCGGCGUAGGGAGGAACAGCCAUGACGGC